rnacentral:rRNA from 1 species
CCUACGGGUGGCAGCAGUGGGGAAUAUUGGGCAAUGGGCGCAAGCCUGACCCAGCAACGCCGCGUGAAGGAAGAAGGCUUUCGGGUUGUAAACUUCUUUUCUCAGGGACGAAGCAAGUGACGGUACCUGAGGACUAAGCCACGGCUAACUACGUGCCAGCAGCCGCGGUAAUACGUAGGUGGCAAGCGUUAUCCGGAUUUACUGGGUGUAAAGGGCGUUUAGGCGGGGACGCAAGUCAGAUGUGAAAACCACGGGCUCAACCUGUGGCCUGCAUUGGAAACUGUGUUUCUUGAGUACUGGGGAGGCAGACGGAAUUCCUGGUGUAGCGGUGAAAUGCGUAGAUAUUAGGAGGAACACCAGUGGCGAAGGCGGUCUGCUGGACAGCAACUGACGCUGAGGCGCGAAAGCGUGGGGAGCAAACAGGGUUAGAUACCCUUGUAGUC